rnacentral:rRNA from 1 species
UUUUCCUACGGGACGCAGCAGUGAGGAAUAUUGGUCAAUGGGCGCGAGCCUGAACCAGCCAAGUCGCGUGAGGGAUGACGGCCCUACGGGUUGUAAACCUCUUUUGCCGGGGAGCAACGGGCGCCACGUGUGGCGCCACUGAGAGUACCCGGAGAAAAAGCAUCGGCUAACUCCGUGCCAGCAGCCGCGGUAAUACGGAGGAUGCGAGCGUUAUCCGGAUUUAUUGGGUUUAAAGGGUGCGUAGGCGGAUCGUUAAGUCAGUGGUCAAAUUGAGGGGCUCAACCUCUUCUCGCCAUUGAAACUGG